rnacentral:tRNA from 1 species
UCAUACUGGUGAAGGGCACCCGCUUGCUGUCGUCAGGCAUGGAGGCGUUCAGAUCCCGGUCGUUGGACACGUCCAGCACGCCC